AUCAGUAUCUUGGCCUUUUGGCUAAGAUCAAGCAUUUUUGGCACCAAGGGGAAUAUGUCAGGGCUAGCUCUGGCUCUCCCAGUGUUGGCCUGGUAUUGCAGUACCUCCAGGCUUGGUGCCAUUUCC
rfam:Alligator mississippiensis ScZkoYb_56, whole genome shotgun sequence.